rnacentral:rRNA from 1 species
AAAUUGAAGAGUUUGAUCAUGGCUCAGAUUGAACGCUGGCGGCAGGCCUAACACAUGCAAGUCGAGCGGUAGCACAGAGAGCUUGCUCUCGGGUGACGAGCGGCGGACGGGUGAGUAAUGUCUGGGAAACUGCCUGAUGGAGGGGGAUAACUACUGGAAACGGUAGCUAAUACCGCAUAACGUCGCAAGACCAAAGUGGGGGACCUUCGGGCCUCAUGCCAUCAGAUGUGCCCAGAUGGGAUUAGCUAGUAGGUGGGGUAAUGGCUCACCUAGGCGACGAUCCCUAGCUGGUCUGAGAGGAUGACCAGCCACACUGGAACUGAGACACGGUCCAGACUCCUACGGGAGGCAGCAGUGGGGAAUAUUGCACAAUGGGCGCAAGCCUGAUGCAGCCAUGCCGCGUGUGUGAAGAAGGCCUUCGGGUUGUAAAGCACUUUCAGCGGGGAGGAAGGCGAUAAGGUUAAUAACCUUGUCGAUUGACGUUACCCGCAGAAGAAGCACCGGCUAACUCCGUGCCAGCAGCCGCGGUAAUACGGAGGGUGCAAGCGUUAAUCGGAAUUACUGGGCGUAAAGCGCACGCAGGCGGUCUGUCAAGUCGGAUGUGAAAUCCCCGGGCUCAACCUGGGAACUGCAUUCGAAACUGGCAGGCUAGAGUCUUGUAGAGGGGGGUAGAAUUCCAGGUGUAGCGGUGAAAUGCGUAGAGAUCUGGAGGAAUACCGGUGGCGAAGGCGGCCCCCUGGACAAAGACUGACGCUCAGGUGCGAAAGCGUGGGGAGCAAACAGGAUUAGAUACCCUGGUAGUCCACGCCGUAAACGAUGUCGAUUUGGAGGUUGUGCCCUUGAGGCGUGGCUUCCGGAGCUAACGCGUUAAAUCGACCGCCUGGGGAGUACGGCCGCAAGCAAGGUUAAAACUCAAAUGAAUUGACGGGGGCCCGCACAAGCGGUGGAGCAUGUGGUUUAAUUCGAUGCAACGCGAAGAACCUUACCUGGUCUUGACAUCCACAGAACUUUCCAGAGAUGGAUUGGUGCCUUCGGGAACUGUGAGACAGGUGCUGCAUGGCUGUCGUCAGCUCGUGUUGUGAAAUGUUGGGUUAAGUCCCGCAACGAGCGCAACCCUUAUCCUUUGUUGCCAGCGGUCCGGCCGGGAACUCAAAGGAGACUGCCAGUGAUAAACUGGAGGAAGGUGGGGAUGACGUCAAGUCAUCAUGGCCCUUACGACCAGGGCUACACACGUGCUACAAUGGCAUAUACAAAGAGAAGCGACCUCGCGAGAGCAAGCGGACCUCAUAAAGUAUGUCGUAGUCCGGAUUGGAGUCUGCAACUCGACUCCAUGAAGUCGGAAUCGCUAGUAAUCGUAGAUCAGAAUGCUACGGUGAAUACGUUCCCGGGCCUUGUACACACCGCCCGUCACACCAUGGGAGUGGGUUGCAAAAGAAGUAGGUAGCUUAACCUUCGGGAGGGCGCUUACCACUUUGUGAUUCAUGACUGGGGUGAAGUCGUAACAAGGUAACCGUAGGGGAACCUGCGGUUGGAUCACCUCCUUA